CACGGGUGCUUGCACCUGGUGGCGAGUGGCGAACGGGUGAGUAAUACAUCGGAACAUGUCCUGUAGUGGGGGAUAGCCCGGCGAAAGCCGGAUUAAUACCGCAUACGAUCUACGGAUGAAAGCGGGGGACCUUCGGGCCUCGCGCUAUAGGGUUGGCCGAUGGCUGAUUAGCUAGUUGGUGGGGUAAAGGCCUACCAAGGCGACGAUCAGUAGCUGGUCUGAGAGGACGACCAGCCACACUGGGACUGAGACACGGCCCAGACUCCUACGGGAGGCAGCAGUGGGGAAUUUUGGACAAUGGGCGAAAGCCUGAUCCAGCAAUGCCGCGUGUGUGAAGAAGGCCUUCGGGUUGUAAAGCACUUUUGUCCGGAAAGAAAUCCUUGGUUCUAAUAUAGCCGGGGGAUGACGGUACCGGAAGAAUAAGCACCGGCUAACUACGUGCCAGCAGCCGCGGUAAUACGUAGGGUGCGAGCGUUAAUCGGAAUUACUGGGCGUAAAGCGUGCGCAGGCGGUUUGCUAAGACCGAUGUGAAAUCCCCGGGCUCAACCUGGGAACUGCAUUGGUGACUGGCAGGCUAGAGUAUGGCAGAGGGGGGUAGAAUUCCACGUGUAGCAGUGAAAUGCGUAGAGAUGUGGAGGAAUACCGAUGGCGAAGGCAGCCC
rnacentral:rRNA from 1 species